GGUGGCUCAGAAGUAGAGUGCUUGCCUUGCAUGUAUGAGGUCCUGGGUUCGAUUCCUAGUACCA
rnacentral:tRNA from 1 species